rnacentral:rRNA from 1 species
GACGAACCGUGCGAACGUUAUUCGGAAUCACUGGGCUUAAAGCGCGCGUAGGCGGCGUCGUUAGUCAGGGGUGAAAUCCCAACGGCUCAACCGUGGAAUUGCCUUUGAUACUGCGAUGCUCGAGGGAGGUAGGGGCAAGUGGAACUUCCAGUGGAGCGGUGAAAUGUGUUGAGAUUGGAAGGAACGCCGGUGGCGAAAGCGACUUGCUGGAUCUCUGCUGACGCUGAGGCGCGAAAGCUAGGGUAGCGAACGGG